AUCCAAGGCAGGUCUUGCGGGUCGCCUAGUACGGGGACGCAGGUCACCAUCAUGGCGGUCCGAUUAGCUGUGAGGGGCUGUGGUGUUCUGCACGCAGCUGCCCGCAGAAGCUCUCUGGUCUCCUGCCGGAGGUGGUCCGGCAACUCGGCAGACACGGUGUACGAUGUGGUGGUGUCGGGAGGAGGCAUGGUGGGCGCUGCCAUGGCCUGUGCCUUGGGACAUGAUAUUCACUUCCAUGACAAGAAAAUCCUGUUGCUAGAAGCAGGUCCAAAGAAAGUGCUGGAGAAGUUGCCGGACACUUACAGCAACAGGGUCAGCGCCGUCUCCCCGGGCUCCGCGACCUUGCUCAGCAGUUUUGGUGCCUGGGACCACAUCUGCAGCCUGAGAUACCGAGCCUUUCGGCGGAUGCAGGUGUGGGACGGCUGCUCAGAGGCCUUGAUAAUGUUCGAUAAGGACAAUUUAGAUGACAUGGGCUACAUAGUGGAGAACGACGUCAUCAUGCACGCGCUCACUGAGCAGCUGGAGGCUGUGUCUGAUCGAGUGACGGUUCUGUACAGGAGCAAAGCUGUUGGCUAUUCCUGGCCUGGCCCCUUUUCCGUGGCGGACUCCAGCCCUUGGGUCCAUAUUACCCUAGGUGAUGGCAGCAACCUCCAGACCACGCUGUUGAUCGGUGCUGAUGGUCACAACUCCGGAGUCCGGCAGGCUGCAGGGAUCCAGAAUGUCAGCUGGAACUAUGACCAGUCUGCUGUCGUGGCUACGCUGCAUUUAUCAGAGGCCACAGAAAACAAUGUAGCCUGGCAGAGGUUUCUUCCCUCGGGGCCUAUUGCCCUGCUUCCGCUCUCAGACACCUUGAGUUCCUUGGUUUGGUCCACGUCCCACGACCAUGCGGCACAGCUGGUGAGCAUGGGUGAGGAAGAGUUCGUGGAUGCUGUCAACUCCGCCUUUUGGAGCGACGCGAACCACAGCGACUUCAUCGGCUCGGCCAGCGGCUUGCUGCAGUACGCUCUUGCCCUUCUGAAGCCCACCAGGGCCCCCGCCCGCCAGCUGCCCCCGAGCGUGGCCAGGGUGGAUGCCAGGAGCAGAGUGCUGUUCCCGCUGGGGCUGGGCCACGCGGCGGAGUACGUGCGGCCUCGCCUGGCGCUCGUUGGGGAUGCGGCGCACAGGGUGCAUCCGCUCGCGGGACAGGGUGUCAACAUGGGCUUUGGGGACGUCUCCAGCUUGCUGCGUCAUCUCAGCGCUGCAGCCUUCGAUGGAAAAGACUUGGGCUCCCUGAGCCACCUCACCUGUUACGAGACGGACAGACAGCGCCACAACACGGCCCUCCUGGCCGCCACGGACUUGCUGAAGAGGCUCUACUCCACCGGCGCCGCCCCGCUCGUGCUGCUCAGGACGUGGGGCCUGCAGGUCACCAGCGCCGUGUCCCCGCUCAAGGAGCAAAUCGUGGCCUUCGCCAGCAAGUGAGCGCUGUCUCCGGGAGACGGUGCUGAUGCAGAAAGAGCUUCCUGCCUCGUGACCCCGCCCACACUUCCAAGAUGUAGUUUAAUAAAUUGGCUUCACAUCGGAAUCCCCGUCCCUCUCCUGCUCUCUGUGCGCACGGAACCCAAGUGACUGGUGAUUUGCUGAGAGGAAAACGACCGCACGGGAGACCGUUCCCGUUCCCGUUCCCGAAAGGAGCUCUUUAUCACUACAGCAACAGUGUCGAGGGGCCGCCCCACCCCUUCGCUUGUUAGCACGCCUUUCUAGAGAGAAUUUAUUCUCGCGCGGGUCACAAACCUGUUUUUUUGAUAGAGUUAUUACAUCGUCAUCUCAGCACCGAACUUCAGCUCUACUUAUGGCUCCUCUCCGGGACACCAGUCUCUGUUCAGUAAUAAAAUAAGUAACCUUG